rnacentral:rRNA from 1 species
UACGAAGGGUGCAAGCGUUAAUCGGAAUUACUGGGCGUAAAGCGUGCGUAGGCGGUUAUUUAAGUCUGUUGUGAAAUCCCCGGGCUUAACCUGGGAACUGCAUUUGUGACUGGCGGGCUAGAGUAUGGCAGAGGGGGGUAGAAUUCCACGUGUAGCAGUGAAAUGCGUAGAGAUGUGGAGGAAUACCGAUGGCGAAGGCAGCCCCCUGGGCCAAUACUGACGCUCAUGCACGAAAGCGUGGGGAGCAAACAG